CCUGCUCCUUCAAAGCCUGCCAAACACGGCUCCUCCCCCAGAGAUGCUCAAGACCACUCCCACAGGGUAUUUAAGCUGCAGCCCAGAAAACAGACAUGUGGUUUUCCGGUCUCUUGUCCCGUUUCCAGGGGGCUGGCAAUCACCCGGGCAUGCUUUACCUAUUAAACCGGGGCUUUUUCUAAUUCGGUCUGAUUUGGUUUGAUUUGGAUUGCUGCGUCUGCAGAGAGGCUAUUGGGGUACAAAAACCUUUCAUCUGGAGGUCCCACCAAUGGGGGUUGAUUUUCCCCCACCAGCCCGGGCCACGUGAUGGGAAAACAACCCUAUCCCCAACAUCUGCUCUCUACCAGACUUAAGAUUGGCUUUCAGCUCGUAGCUGGAGCUGAUGGAGUUGUUCAAGUCUCCAGAGAAGAGACCUCAUGGUUCGUUGCCUCCUCCAAGGAAAAACUCCCACUUUAUGGGCCUGGUGGCCAAAGACUGAUGCUGUUCUGAUACUUCUGCCUCCAACGAUGGGAGACCCGGGCAUGGCUGACUGGGUAUGCACUGGUCCCUGUUAUCUUUAAUAGAUUUGAAAGCUGCUUGGCCUGCACUCAGAUAUAAUUUAUCCUUCUCAGAUCUCUGAUUCAAUUUGAGAACCAGGCUUUGCUUCAGCUGCCUUCUCAGUUCUCUAUAUAAAAUUCACAGAUCUCCCUCUCCUAGGGCUACUACUAGGUCUAGACACAACUUACCUUGUUACCGGAUCAGAUAAACUCACAGAACAGAUUUCAAUGUAACUUUUUACUGUUGACUGUUCUCAGUAUCCCCUGAUAAAUUAGAUAAAAAGAAAUAGCUUUAAGGUUUGUUUAUAUGAAGAUAUAAACUUCUUCUUACUUCUGUUCACUUACAUAUCCUUCUCAGAUCUGAUGAUGUUUAGGGAAGGCUCCCUCCUCCUUCACUCACUCAACCACUUCCAUUCAGUAAAUUUCCUCUGGUUGUAGAUUUAAAGAUAUGUUUCAUUAGGCUGAAACCAGGAAAUGCUCAUACCUUUUAACCCAAAGCCAUAGCUUUUGCUAUGACACCAAGAUGUAAAUCUGUUCCAGUUGCUUUACAGACACUUGGAGGUCCCUGCACAGAUCCACCCCUCCUGCCAGGCUUGUGCCAGGGCCAAUCCACAGGGGUCCUCCAGAUAUGCCAGCCCCUGAACCAGCUCCAAGGAUGCCAACCACCAAGAUGAAAGAGAUAUUUCCACCACACAGCAGAUGCAAUGGCUCCUGUACUCCUGAUUUGGUGUGCCGUUCCCCAACCUCCUGGAACAUCACUGCUGCAACCUGCCUUCUCAGCCCCCUCCAGGAACACCUGAGAUCUCCACGAUGACAGCUAACUGAAUGCUUCUUCACUCAUACCCCUCACCAUGCGUGACUCCCAGCUUCCCCCUCCCCACUUCGCCCCUUGUCAGCAGGAAGCAUUCUCGAGAAUUUGGCACCCUCAUUCCCCCCACUUGCUAUCCACAACUCACCUUUUUAUAAUACUCAAAAUGGAGGAACGCUAGUAUUCUGACCUGCACCUUGGGGACCCACCCAGCAUCCUGACAUCAUCUUAAGUAAGGUCCCCUUUAAGAAAAAACUCCUCUGCCUUCACUCCCCCCCACCAGAGGUACCAAACACCCCUCUCUCUCUUUCUCUUUCUCUUUCCCUCUCUCUCUCUCUCUCUCUCUCUCUCUCUCUCUCUCUCUCUCUCUCUCUCUUCCUUUAAUCAUAAAAACUUUCCAUAUGGAAGUCAUAUCUACCGUGUGAGUAACUUUCCAGCAGAUGGCGCCAUGCGGUAAUCUGCUGCGUCUGCAUGGUGUGUCUCACCUGUGGGGCACCUUGGUCCAAACCAUUUCACAACAUUAACAAAAUCCUGUCUUGAAAAAACCAAAACCAAAACCAAAAAGAAAAAAGAAAAAGAAAAGAAAGAAAAAGA